AGUCGAGGGGUAACAGGAUAGCAAUAUUGCUGACGACCGGCGCACGGGUGAGUAACGCGUAUGUAACCUUCCUUUAACUGGGGAAUAGCCCGGAGAGAUUCGGAUUAAUGUCCCAUAAUAUCCAGGAGACGCAUGUUUUCUGGAUUAAAGCUCAGGCGGUUAAAGAUGGACAUGCGUACCAUUAGCUUGUUGGUGAGGUAACGGCUCACCAAGGCCACGAUGGUUAGGGGGUUUGAGAGGAUGAUCCCCCACACUGGUACUGAGACACGGACCAGACUCCUACGGGAGGCAGCAGUGAGGAAUAUUGGGCAAUGGGCGCAAGCCUGACCCAGCCAUGCCGCGUGAAGGAUGAAUGCCCUACGGGUUGUAAACUUCUUUUUUACGGGACGAAACACCUGGUCGUGACCGGGUUUGACUGUGCCGUAUGAAUAAGCAUCGGCUAACUCCGUGCCAGCAGCCGCGGUAAUACGGAGGAUGCAAGCGUUAUCCGGAUUUAUUGGGUUUAAAGGGUGCGUAGGCGGAAUAGUAAGUCAGUGGUGAAAGCCUGCGGCUUAACUGUAGAAUUGCCAUUGAUACUGUUAUUCUUGAGUGUAGUUGAGGUGGGCGGAAUGUGUAAUGUAGCGGUGAAAUGCUUAGAUAUUACACAGAACACCGAUUGCGAAGGCAGCUCACUAAGCUAUAACUGACGCUGAGGCACGAAAGCGUGGGGAGCAAACAGGAUUAGAUACCCUGGUAGUCCACGCUGUAAACGAUGAUCACUGGUUGUUGGCGAUACAUUGUCAGCGACUGAGCGAAAGCAUUAAGUGAUCCACCUGGGGAGUACGGCGGCAACGCUGAAACUCAAAGGAAUUGACGGGGGCCCGCACAAGCGGAGGAACAUGUGGUUUAAUUCGAUGAUACGCGAGGAACCUUACCUGGGCUUGAAAGGGAAACGACCUCCCGGGAAACCGGGAUUCUCUUCGGAGCGUUUUCCUAGGUGCUGCAUGGUUGUCGUCAGCUCGUGCCGUGAGGUGUCGGGUUAAGUCCCAUAACGAGCGCAACCCCUAUCGUUAGUUGCCAGCGGGUAAUGCCGGGAACUCUAACGAAACUGCCGGUGUAAACCGAGAGGAAGGUGGGGAUGACGUCAAAUCAGCACGGCCCUUAUGUCCAGGGCUACACACGUGUUACAAUGGUCGGUACAAAGGGCAGCUACUUGGUGACAAGAUGCUAAUCUCUAAAACCGGUCUCAGUUCGGAUCGAAGUCUGCAACUCGACUUCGUGAAGUUGGAUUCGCUAGUAAUCGCGCGUCAGCAACGGCGCGGUGAAUACGUUCCCGGGCCUUGUACACACCGCCCGUCAAGCCAUGGAAGCUGGGGGUACCUGAAGUCUGUAACCG
rnacentral:rRNA from 1 species